AGAGCUGCGGAACUGUAGCUAGCUAGCAAACGUCAGCUAAUUGCUAGCUAACAAAGUGUGACCUGUAAUUCAGUGUAGAGAAAAUGAAGACUGGUGACAGUUCGAAAUUUGUCUUAUUGUAUUGAGCGAACAUAUCCUUUGUUUGAACUAGUUACUGAAAGUCAGCCACCAACAACAGAUUCCUACACACGCAGUGUUGUUAUCUGCAUAAUGUCACUGCUGAGUACUGUAUCAAACAAUUGUGAGGCAAAUGGUGGUGGAUCGCGUGUUCUAUAAAUAUUAUAGAAAUUACAUAGUUAUUUUUACAGUGAUAUAUUGGGAAGGGACAAAUCGUAGUUUUCCCAGGAUGGUAAAUGUGUCCGAAAGACUGGAAAAUGUAAAUUACCAUCAGGUUUCAGAUACUCACCUUUUUUAUCUUUGGUUGAUGAAAAAGCAUCGAGGCGCCCACAAAAGGCUAACGUAACUUCGAGAAAGUUUUUACACAAUGAUUCUGACCGGUUGUCAGCUCUUCCAGGAAAUGGUAAGAUGCUCUACAGUAGACUCUAAUAUCAUUCGUUUUUGUGUAUUAUGUUUAUUUUAGAAAAAUAUAACUGCUCUUGGUACUAAGUAAUCUUUCUUGUACUACAAUGAGGAAAUAAAGUUAUAAACACUGAGAUUAAUGUGAGUAAAUAAAAGCGCGGUCUGACCAGCCAUUGUUACAACUCGUACCUAGAUGUUCUAAUUGUGCGUUUUAAACAAUACGUUCUUAUCACACCGGUCGUACGCUACAGGGACCACUCUAGCGUGACCACACUGGUGUGAUCGUACAAGCUCUGCUUGUGUCGAAAAGCAUCAAAACACCUGCCUGACUAAUAUAUAAUUAUGAUACAUUGCGUCAUAACAUCAGAUUCUUAUUUGUAGGUCUGUCAGUUGCCAUGUAUGCAUGAGUGUGGUUUAAUUCUUUCAAACGCUGCCAUUCUUUCUAUAAAGUCGUUUAAAUAAGUUUGCCACUUUCACUUGGUUGUAGUAAUGACAGUGUCCGUUGUCUGCUUUGAUCUACUUUGUUGCACAUCCUGUGUUUGAAACUUUUGGCUGUGUAGCUUGGCUGUGAUGAUGUCAGAUCAAAAUCUCCCUUGAUUUUUUGUAGCUUAGGCCACUCUGUGUUUUAUGGCAAAUACUCAGCAGAGUUAUUACCACAGAAUGAGACAUGUCACUGGCUUGAUUUCUUACACUGGGAGUGGUAGGACAAGUGGAAGAGGACCGUCUGCAUAUUGCCCCUACCCUGACCAAAUUUGUUUUAGCAUUUGUCGCUUUGCGGCAACCCAUCAGCGUGACUCGGAAAUUAUAGACAACCAACCAACGUAUAGAUCAGUGGCAUCAUGACAUGAUCAGAGCUCUGUCUCUGCCAAGCACCAUUUUUCUUUUUUGUAUACGUGACUUACAUUCUUACAGUAGAGAGGACAUUUGCUUUAAUAUUCAUUUCCUUUUUUUGUACUGUUCUGCCAUGGAAAUGAACCCUUAUCGCUGCUGUUGCUCCACUGAGUACGUGUGACCCUUGUCAUUCAAGCUUUUUGACAUAAUUUUCUUUCAAUCAGGAACCAACUCUGUACACAGUGAAAGCUGUCCUCAUCCUUGACAAUGAUGGGGAAGACUCUACGCAAAGGUAUCUAAUAAUCAUGAGUGAAGUGGCCCCCACUGGCUGUGUGCGGCAUGACAAUACAGUACACAGUUACAGUUACUAUGAUGAAUCAUUUCCAGCUGUCAAAGAGCAGAAAGCAUUUGAGAAAAACAUAUUCAGCAAGAUACCCCGCACUGACAUUCAGAUGUUGUCAAACUAUUUAAAUUAAUUAUGUGCACAUCAGUUUACAGUAGGGUCCAAGAAGCACCAAUGUCAACAAGAGGUCGUAACAUUAACUAAACUUCCUUACCCAGGUGAGAUUUCGCUCCUAGAAGGUCUUACCGUGAUCUCCAAAAGUAAUAUUGACCUUUUAUGUUAUUGUCAGUUUACAUGAAAAGGAGGUAGGCUGUUAGGCAUCCUAACAAAACACAGUGAAAAUAAGGUAGGCUGGUAGGCAUGCUAACAAAACACAAUGAAAAUAAGGUAGGCUGGUAGGCAUGCUAACAAAACACAGGCAACAUUGUUUCUAUGAAGUGCCCUCCCAACAUACAAUACAGUGUACAAUGGGUACAUUCAUUCAUUUAUUUGUUUGCACUGGUUCUGCUAAGUAACAUUCUGACCAGAGGUCAACAACAGUUCAUUGAUCUGGAGUUGCUCCCUCUCUUUCACUUUUACAGGGGGAUGAUGUUCCUCUAAUAGACUGUUUCUCAUGUGCUAAAGUCUGCAAAUGAACAGAUUAAGUGGUCCUUACUGCGAUAGCAGAGUUGUCUCUGCCAUUAGAACCGUACUACCAUCACAUUCCUCUACCUGUAUGUCUCAGAGAUCAUUUCACUGAAGUCUUCUGAUUGAGCCAACAAUCAGAUCCAGCUUGGGACCCCACUGAAGCCUUUUCUAUUUUCUGUUUCUUGAUUAUCCAUCAAUCUCACUAACUCUUAUUGCCAAGGCAACAGGACAUACUUAUUUAUUUAUCACAAAUCCAGUUAUCCUUACUGUCUCUAUUAUAGUACCAAUACAUGUGACCUGAACAUUUAUGAUUCACCUAUUCCUCUGUGAUUUUUAAUGUUUAUUUUGAUUUUGUGGCAUAUGUGGUUUUGCAACUGUGUGCUGGCAGACACCUAACCCUAAUUUAACCUAAAUCUUACCUGAAGAUAGCAUGUCUGAGUACAUCGCACAACAUACAAAUGAAACCUGCACAUAACUUUGGUAUAUAUUAGUAUAUAUAUAUUAGUAAAAACAACAAAAGACCUGACCAAUUUCAAUUUGAAAAAUGUGAAGCAAUGCAGAAACUCCAAUUGGACAACUACUCUUUCAUGGCACUGUAACAAGGACUAAGAGCUGUAAUUAUGCACAAUGCACUGCGGAGUGACUGGAUAUACUGCACUUAGCCAUAGUGGAUUGAAAUAUUUACCACAAACCCCUGAGGUGCCUUAGUGCAAAUAUAAACCAAUCAUCAAUGCAAUUAUUAUAGUAAAUAAAUGUAUUUUCAUAGCCAUGCUAUAAGGUCUCUUAUAAACAAGGUGGUUUGAAUACUGAAUUCUAAUUGUUCUAGUAUAUGAGACUGUAUAUCACAUGAAUAUGUACAUUUUCUCAUCUGUGAGAACCUUUUUUAUUUAAAUCUGCUUGCAUUUGAUGAAAUU